AACAGAAAUCAAGAAAGGUCUCUCUCGUACAUCUGGACAUUUCUCGCGUGUAAAAUCGAUUAUCGAGGGUUUAUUGCACGCGCGAAGUGUUGACGGGUAUGAAAGGAUCGAUACGAGGUGGCGAUUGCGCUCGCGUCUGACGGGCCGAGUUCUCCACGACGAAUCUUUCCGGCGGGGAGGAUGAACUUCGCAAAGUGUAACACACUUCGUCGAAAUCAUAGGUUUGCGUCAGCGCGCCGCGACCAUCCGGGCAUAAGUGCGAACGUGUUUGACGUCAGUGCGCCGUAAAAGCCUGCUAUCAUCGUCGGCAAAUAGACGUGCACUUGGAGGCGGGGAGGCAGAUUAGAAAAAAUCAGAUAUAAGCACGCGGCUACUGACGCAAUAACGCAAAUAUACGACACUCAUAUUCAACACACCGGACUCCGAUGACGCUAUGGGAGUCAAUUGCGUGCGUAUCAAUCGGGGUAUAUAUUGAGAAAAAAAAGCGACCGAUACUUGUGACUAUAAUCGCGCUAAAAAUAUUUAUAGCCGCUGUUUUUAUAGUAAGCACUACUGUAAUGCGAUCGGGAAUAAUCUUACAUGCUUAUUGUCCCUGUUCUUUUGGAGCAACAUAAAAUACAGUUGGCGCUAAGACGAUUAUAAUUUUA